ACAUGCUUAGUCCUUGUUGCAUUAUUCAUUAAGAUGAUUUUAAACAGAUGUCUGCAGUUCAGAUAACUCUGAAUUGUAUGAGAACGUCAGUUUAUAACGGCCCACGUAUGAAAAAAGUGUCGGGUUGAAAUCGGCGUCAUAAUUCCAGUUAACGUGUCGGGCCGGGCUUGGACACAACGCAUGGGCUCGGGUUGGGUCGGGCUUACUCUAAAGACAUUCAUGGCUAAUAACUGUGAAACAGUUUGUGACACAAUGCUAUCCCUAACUUCACCACCAGAUGUCCUCAGAGUUCUGAAGCUUCGAGUAGUGAACCUUUUUUCGAUACAAUUGGCUUGAAAGCUUCACUGCUUCAGAAAGCUUCAGUUCGCCAUCACUAGUAAUUUAUUGUGUUUGUGCUGGUUGCACAAAGUCCAGUCUGUCAGGAAAUCGUGUACAUCAUUUUCCUUGUAGGAAAAGCAAGGUUUUUCAUUUUUGGGUGCGUUUUGUGCAGGUGAAGUGAGCAGACUUCACUGCCGCGUCUGUCACCACACACUCGGUCGUUUGUGGUGCUCAUUUCACUCCGGAGAGUUAUAGACCUGGAGAUUUGUUGGAGUCUCAGAUGGGAUUUUGGAGUAAGGACAAUGUGAGGCUGAUUACCGAUGCUGUUCCCUCGGUGCACUCGAUGGAAUCAAGUCCACCACCAUCAAAGCUUUCACCUGAAUCUGGCGUGGGCAGGACUGGAGGACCAAGUGCUAUAGCACUUGCAGAAAUUCCUGAACCGAAAAAGAGCUCUUAGCAGAAUUUUGGCAGAGCGUGCAGCCAGUAAUGAAGGGAUAGAUGCACCUGACAGAGGGCUUCUCUCUACAGGAUCCUGGACCAUUAGUGCUUCAUCGUGGGUCACAGUGCAACAUCAGAUGUCUGCAAAGCUCAUCAGUUUUCCUAGGACUAGGGUGGCCCCUAA